rnacentral:rRNA from 1 species
AAACUAACAAGGAUUCCCCUAGUAACUGCGAGUGAAGCGGGAAAAGCUCAAAUUUAAAAUCUGGCGGUCUCCGGCCGUCCGAGUUGUAAUUUAGAGAAGCGUUAUCCGUGCUGGACCGUGUAUAAGUCUCCUGGAAUGGAGCGUCAUAGAGGGUGAGAAUCCCGUCUUUGACACGGACUACCAGUGCAUUGUGAUGCGCUCUCGACGAGUCGAGUUGUUUGGGAAUGCAGCUCAAAAUGGGUGGUAAAUGCCAUCUAAAGCUAAAUAUUGGCGAGAGACCGAUAGCGAACAAGUACCGUGAGGGAAAGAUGAAAAGAACUUUGGAAAGAGAGUUAAACAGUACGUGAAAUUGUCGAAAGGGAAACGGUUGCAGUAAGUCGCGUCCGCCGGGGAUCAACCUUGCUUUUGCUUGGCGUAUUUCCCGGUGGAUGGGUCAGCAUCAGUUUUGACCGCAGUUGAAAGGCUGGAGGAAUGUGGCACCUUCGGGUGUGUUAUAGCCUCCUGUCAUAUGCUGCGGUUGGGACUGAGGAACUCAGCACGCCGCAAGGCCGGGAUUCGUCCACGUUCGUGCUUAGGAUGCUGGCAUAAUGUCUGUAACCGAC